CACGGUCCUCAUGUUGAGGUCUCUCGUCCCUGGGGCUUGUUCAGGGGACAAGAACAUCCUUUGUUUGGGAAAGAACUAGAGAAGCAUCUGAGGAUUCGGCUCCCAGAGUUUUGGCUCCCUCAUCCUCCAUCGCUAGAGCUGCCCAGAGCAGGGCAGGGGAGGGGCAGGUGAAGGGCAGGCCAAGGGCAGGCCUCGUGGUCUAUUGUUCUGGAUUCUUUGAAUCUGUACAUCACAGACUGCUGGAAGGGAGGGGCUUCAGAGACUCCAGAGCCACCUUCUGCCUCCAGCAUGGACACCACAGGACAACUGCCUGUCGUAUAUUUCUAGAACCCACUGUGGGCAGAGGUACGGAUCCUCUUGUAUUUUAGUCUCAUGUCUGGUGAUUCUCAUGGUCACAUUCUUGAACCUGACCUGAGUGUCUCUUGCUACAACUCAGGCUGCCAUUGCUCGGUCAGGUGCACCAUCCUCCCCUGCUUCUUGGAGACAGAUGCUCCCAGCGCUGCUCACCUCUGAGUCCUGGCCACGGCUAGUCACUUUCCCUCUCCUCCUCUCCCGUGGCUCCUGUAAAGCGUGGUUUGGGGAAUGCAUUGUGUCCCUGGCCCUCAAAGUCUGUUUCUCUGGAAUUCUGGCCCCGGGCUGCAGUUCAUGCUGUGGCUUCUGCUGCAUGAACUUCUCUGACUUCUGCUCCGAGGACCUGCCUCCUCCUUCCCUGAAGACCCAGCUCUGCCCUGUCUGUCCCACAGCCAGCCGCCCUGGUACUUCCUCCCCGUGGACAGGACCAGACCCCUUCCCCGUCUUAUUUUUCAUUUAAAAACAUUUCUUUUUUACAUCACAAACAUUUCUUAAUGUUCAUUGUAGAAAAUUCAGAAAAUAUAAGACAACUAGAAGAGAAAAUUUAAAAUCCCUGAACUGCUCCUAUCAGAUAGCACCGCUGUCAACCACGUCUUUUCUUUUUAGACCCUUGUACAUAGGCCAAUGAAAUUUCAUACCAUAUCAUUUAGCAUCUUGCUUUUCCACUUAAUAUGACAUAAUGAAUGAUUUUUUUGCCCAUCACUAAACAUUUAAACACAAUUUUUAAUAUCUGUUUACUGUUUUAUAUCUCAUACAUUUUUUUUAGCCCUUGCAUAAUUAUUUCUAAGUGGAAAAAUACCUAUCCCGUCAAGCCCGCCGAACGACCCAACUCGAGGAAGCUGAACUAGUCAGGGAGCUGCAGGAAUGUGAGCGGCGGUUGUUCAUUAUGUGAGUUUUAUCUCCCCGAGUGGACUGCUCUUCUGUAUUGUCACAAAAUUGUUAAACACUUUUCUCAUUCGCCGAGUUUUGCACGGUGGUAGGCAAAAUAAGCUGUCUGGCUGUAAUCUUCAAAAACCCCUGUAUGUAUUUAUAAAUUCCAGCUUCUUUCCUGGGGAUUUUGUAGGGACUGUGGCCUAAGGAAGUUAUUUGAAAUAUCAUGAGCACAGAGAUGUUCAGUGUGGCAUGAUUUUGCAUUAGCCCCAAACUAGGAAUCACCAAAAUGUCUAGUGGUCCAGGAGGAUGAUAAAGUCCACGAUGAUGAGUCAGUGUGUCAGCUGCAGAAAAUGAUGUUUACAAAGCCUUUGUGAUAAAAUUGAAUGUUUGUUUCGUAAUCACAGCAAGAAACAAAGAGUUGUGGGAGGAAAAGGGUGGAAAGACACCAAAAUGGGAACGGUGGUUAGGGAUGUUUUCCUGCUCUCUGUCUGCUUUCCUGCCGUGAGCCUGUGAACCCUUGAUCCAUUAAAAUACUAAGAGAUGGAUAGACAGAUAUCAGUUUUAUUUUUUAAUCAUCUGCAAAGAUGCUUUAGUCUUUUCGGUGUUGCUAUAACACAAUACCUAAAGUGAACACUUUAUGAAGAAAAGAGUUUUAUUUGGCUCACAGUUGUGGAGGUUCAGGGGCGUGGUGCUGGCAUCAGAUUCUGGUGAAGGCCUCUGGGGAGAGACCUUGCUGGUCUCUGGUGGACAGACAGAAAGAGGAAGUGAGUGUGUGCAGGAGAGAGAGGUUGCACCGAGAGAGGAAGCAAGAGAGCGAGCCAGCCAAGAAGUGGCUUCGUGACAGCCCUCUCUGGGCAGCCAGGCUGGUCCCAGGAACAAACCCACCCCACAAGACGGGCAUUGGGCCUCCCAAGGGUGGUGCCCUCCAUGACCUAAUCACCCGCCACCAGGGCCUCCCGUAGGCUCCACCCCCUUUCAACACCGUGACAUGGGGACCAGGCCCCCAGCACAUGAGCCUUUGGGGACAAACUGGGUCCAAACCAUAGCAAAGAAUACUGCAGAGCUGAGCUCAAGAGAAAGGAGCGACCAGAAAUGGGAGGAGAGGCGUGUGGCCCGAGGCCGAUGAGCUGAGACUUCUGGAAAGUGCUCAGGACCCCAUGAGGGGCCUUUCGGGGGGGGGUGUCUGUUUAGCAGGAAGAAUAGACUAAGGACGGCACCUCGACGGGGCAAGACAAUGUAAUUAUAAAAGGAGAAACCGCAGUUGCAAUUGCUGAUUUGUUGCUGGGCUCUGCCUUCUCGGCACAGGCGGAGGGAGCCAGGGUGGAGCCACCAGGCUUUGGAGGAACCGGGGUGAGAGGAACCACAGGGUGGCCGGCAGUGGGCACGCUCCGUCGUGAUCCUUAAAAAAAUAGGAAGAUAGAAUUCUGUAAUAGAGAAAUCUGAGUCACUGACCUCCAGCAAAAUUCCCUAACGGUUUUUUUUUUUUUAAAUAAUUCAGACUUGUAGAAAAGUGGUGAACUCCACCCAGGGUCUCCCGUUGACCACCCAUCAUGGUUCUGCAGAUGUUAACAUCUCACCCUCUCCGCUCACCCGCCUUCCUAGACACGUGCACACACAUCAUGAUUUUUCUGGACCAUUUGAGGGCACGGUGCAGACACAAUGCUCUGGAACCCUGAAAACUUCAUUGUGUACUUCCAAGAAGAUGGGGCGCUUCCACUAAACCACAGCAAAACCGUCACAACUGGGAAUUAACAUUGGUACAGUGUGACUGUUUGGUCCCUAUCCCCCAUUCAGAUUUUGACAGUUGUCUCAAAAAUAUGUCACCACCCACCAUCCCACCAUCACCAUCACCACCACCACCAUCAUCACCAUCAUCACCAUCACUACCAUUACCAUCACCACCAUCAUCACCACCACCACUAUCAUCACCACCAUCACUUACCACCACCAUCACCGAUGUCAUUUCUGGCCCAGGAUCUGAUGCAAGAUCCUGUGUUGCACUUGGUGCCCAUCUCUUCAGCCUCCUUCCAUCUGGAGGUUCCUGGGUCUUUCCUUUUUGACUUUGUUGUUUUAUUGAUUUUCUUGCAGGGCUGGGAAUGGACCUCAGGGCCUGUGCAUGCCAGGCUCGCCCUCUACCACUGAGCCACACCCCAGCCCUUUGUGAGACAGGGUCUCGCUAAGUUGCCUGGGCUGGGCUUGAACUUGUGAUCCUCCCGCCUCAGCCUUUCAAGUAGCUGGGAUUACAGGUGUGAGUCACCUGUAGUUGUGUUUGAAGAAAUGGAUUCACGACCCUGGAGGUUGCUCAGUUGGGGUUUGACUGAUGUUUCCUCAUGGUUAGUUCACAUCAGGCAAUUUUGGCAGAAAUAUCCCUGAGGUAGUGUAUCCUGCUAGGUGUCAAGUCAAAGGGUGAAUGGGAUUUGUUCCCACUAAUAUUAAGUAACAGCUCUAUUGAGAUAGAAUUCACAUACCACAAAACCCACCAUUGGAAAGUGUGGCAUUCAGUGUUUUUUGUAUAUCCAGUCAUAGGGUCAUCACCACAGUCAAUUUAGAACAUUUUCAUCACCCAGAAGACCUCAGGCCCAAUAGCAGGCACUCUCCAUUUCCCCGUCCCUGUUCCUGGCCACCACCACUCCACUUCCUACCAGUGUGUGUUUGCUUAUUCUGGACAUUUCACAUAAAUGGAGUCAUACACUCAGUAGCAUUUCUGUGUCUGGUUUCCUUGCUUGGCAUAGUAUUUAUUGCCCAUGGUGUGACAUGUGCUUUGAUCCUUUUUGUGUCUGAGUAAUAUUCCAUUGUAUGGAUAUACCACAUGUACUUGAUCCAUCCAUCAGUUGAUGGGCAUUGGGGUUGUUUCCACUUUUUGGCUAGGAUAAAUAUUGCUGCUGUGAACAUUUAUUUCUGUGUGGACCAAUGUUUUUAUUUUGUCAAGGGCCCCUGAGAUCACUCCUAGGUUUAUCAAUUCACUAGGAGGACUUGAGGACUCGCCACAGUCCCACUCACAGCUAGGAUUUGUUACCGUGAAAGAACACACCACAAAAUGAGCCAAAGAAAAUGUGCAUGAAGGGCUGGGGUUGUGGCUCAGCGGUAGAGCGCUCGCCUAGCAGGUGCAAGGCCCUGGGUUCGAUUCUGAGCACCACAUAAAAAUAAAUAAAAAUAAAGGUAUUUAAAAAAAAAAGAAAAAGAAAAUGUGCACGAGCGGAUGUCUAGAAGAAACCAGGUACGGGCUCCAAGAGUCUCUUCCCAGGCAUGGCACACAGCGUGCACUUAAUCCCUGCAGCAUGAAGUCGUGACGCCGUGGAUGGUGUUGUCUACCAGGCAAGCUCUUCAGAGACUCAUUGCCCAGGGCUUUUGCUGGGGGCUGGUCCUGUAGGCACCCUCUGCCUGAAGUGUACUGAAAUCCCAGCUCCCGCCAGGAAAGCAGAUGCCUGGCAUUAGCCCCGAGGUCUGUGCAGCCCGGCACCGCGAGCCUCCCUUAUCAACUUAGACGGCGCUGGGAACGCCCGCGGGAUCCACUUUCCCAGGCAGCCCAGGCCCAGCCUUGCAAGCAGCCCUUUCUGAGCCACAUCUCUCCCACUUGCUGCGUCGACUCUUCCCGGUGCAGGUAUACAUUAGGAUCGGCUUUGCCAGGUUCUCUGGUGACACCACAUUUAACAUUCCCCCCCAAGUGGCUGCAGCGUCUUUGUUCUCCACUGGCUAUUUAUACAGGUCCCCGGGGCCCCACAUCCUGGCCGGCACCUUGGCUUGGCCAUCUUUGUGAGUGAAACCAUUCUAGCAGGUCUAAUAGGUCUUUAAGUCAGCAAUUUGCAAGCGUUUAGAACAAAAAAAUAAUGAUUCAUAGAAGCCAAAAUGAUCUCUCUGAGAACAAUCAUGCUCGUCUAACCCCUUAUUUUCUUUCUUUUCUUUUUUUUUUUUAAGGCAAUUUAUUCCUUCUGUACGAGCUGUACUAGGGCAGGGUGUGUUUCUGUUCCAGCCUCGUCUUUCACAAUAUCUUCAUGUACAAAAAUGGAGAGCCGGGGGCUGCGCUGAUCACUUGGCGGCUUCCUCAUCUGUGGAUGGAUGACAGGCAGCUCCCGGAGCCGGGAGCGAGGCUCUUCUGCUGCCUCCUGGCUCCGUCCUCAGCCAGCUACAAAUGCCUCUGUCCAAAACCUGGGGAGACACACGUGGCAGCCCGUCGGCUUUGCCAGUUACUCAAAGUAGGAAGACGCACAUGUGUUGAGCAGUGAGAUCUGGUUCCAGAAAGAUCCUGGCAGCCCGGGUUGACAGGCAGAUUCCAACAAGAUGGACGGACUGGGGACAAAUGGCAGGUCCGUGCCUGCAGGACCUGGUCCAGUGGUGACCGGGGCAAGCUCACACUUGGAUGUCUGGCCCUUACCAAAAGCAUCAGUUCAAGGAAUGGGCGACAGAGUCGUGGGGCACCUGGAAGAGCAUUUCAGAGGGCACCGUGGGAAGCGCGGGGGAUUCAGAACUUCGCUGGGAGGGAAGCUGCCUGAGGGGCAGUGCGGUCCGCUGGCCAGCAGGCAUCCUGCAGGGACUCCAGAGUGGACUCCCCGAGGCUGAGGGUCUGCAGGGGGUGGCAGGGUGAGCCAGAUUCAGGCUGAUUAAGGAAGCAUCCUGUGAAACUCUGUAGUGCUUGGGCUGAGGUACCCCUGAACCUGCACCUGCCCCCUCCUGAGCCCAUGUGUGGCUCACCAGCCUCUGCCCUCCGACUUCUCUUUCACCUGCUGGUGUCCUACCUGUGUCGUCCAUGGUCUGCACCGAGUCUCCUGGCCGCAAGUGGCGCUCCAGAGCCAGCUGUCUCGUCCCUUCUUAUAUUCAGUUGGCAAAUAUUUUAAUGAGCACCUUCUAUGAGCCGGCGGCUGGAUGUGCCCUGCAAUGAGACCUGAAGGAAGAGGAGCAGGUGGCAGCGGGGAAGAGAGCAGAAGCCGGGAGAGUGACCCCUUGGCUUCAGCCGGGGACCAGGCCCCUGGCAGCGCUUGGUGCAGGUGUGUUCGCAGGAGGGAGGAAGGCUACUGGCUGGAGGGCGAGGGGCUUUCUGUCCCCUGCUCAUCCAGCACCUGGGUGGAGCCCCCUGGGUCCCAGCUGGGGCGACGCUUGUGCUCUGAGGGCCUGUGUGUGACGCCUUCGGAAUCCAGCCCUGGAGGCGCGUGGGAUGGGCCCUGCCUUCCCUCCACCCCGUGGAGGUGGGUGACAGAGAGAAUAGGACGUGUUCCAAACACCUCCACAUCCCUGCAGUGACAGUGCCUUUGAGGCCCGUAGACACCGUGGCUCCUGUACUUGCUCUGCCUGUGUCCCUCCCUGUGAGGGGACAGCUCCAGGGGCGACCCCCGAUGAGAGAGGCUGAGGGAGGAGGCCAGGCCCCUCCAGCACUGGUACCGCAAUUAUUUGCCACCAUUGCCAAUUCAAGAUAAGUAGAAAAUGACGGCGGGGGAGAACCAGGCCCAGGGCAGUGCCAGGCACCUGGCAUGCGUCACCUGACAUCUGCACGCGUGCUGCACGGGCAGCCUCACGUCACCAAGCACCGAGGGGACCUGCGGACAAGGAGAUGGAAGGGCUGGGUUCCAGCCACCUGGCUGCGCCGUUGUGACCGCUUUCCUCCGGGAGCCUCCGUUCCAUCAGCUACGAGAUGGGGAGGUGGCGCUGGAGUGUCCCUCUGUCUUCCAGGAAGGCGGGUGACACUCCCAUCAGGUCUGUCUUCCGUGUCUGUGCAUUGGGCCACGGCAGUGGGUGCAUCUGUGGGCACUGUCCGGAUGUGCCUGGAAGACGUGGCUUCUAAACCUGGGCACCAGGGGCUGCCCCUCAUGGAGGACACAGGUGACAUCCUAGAAAGAGGGCCACCGGGAGAAACAACACAGGCCAAGGGACAGGAAGAGAAAGCCACAGGCCGCAGCACGGUGUCCAGCAGGGCGGUCAUGGGCACAAGUCCAGGCUGAGCGUCCCUGGUCAGAGAUCCACGGGGCUCUGAAGUCUGAAACUUGCAAGAGCUUGAUGCCACACACCUGGCCUCUUGGGAUGGUCACAGUGAAAAUGCAGGUACGCCAGAAAUAUCGUGCAAAGUCAUCCUCAGGCCGCGCGUCUAAGCAGUAUGCGGCACAGAGGAAUCCGCGGCUGGACUCGGGCCUCCUAGGAUGCCUCAUCCUACAGAUGUGGAUUUUCUAAAAUUCAAACAAGUCUGAAAUCUAAGCCUCUUCCAGGUCCAAGCAUCUGGGGCAAGGGACACUCACCCUGUGAUGCAUUCAUCGGUGGUUGUCAGAUGUGACCCAGGGACCGACACAUCGUGGGGGACUGUCAGAAAGGCAGUUCCCGGCUCUUCCUCAGCCUGCUGAGUCGGAGCUCAGGGUAGGGCCGUCCACCCGUCUCCAUAGCCCCCAGGGCUUCUGGGGCAGCCAGUGUUUGUGAAUGGAAGUGAGGGUGGGGCCCGAGACCAGACGGGCGCUUUGAAGGCCCAGGUGGGAAGUGACCCCGGGACCGCCACUCCCCUGCUGCUGGAAGGGGGCAGGUCAUUCUGGUCGCUCAAGGAAACCUUUCGGAUGUGGCAAAGCAGGCUCAUGCCUGGUCAGUAGACCUCGGAGGAGGCAGCUGAGACUGGGGGACAUUCAGCCAGAGCCCCAGGGAGGGUGGCAGAGGCAGUGUUAGAAACCAGACCUCUCUGAUCUCGCAGCCUGAGUUCUUUUCACUGCAGCGGCCCCUGGGCUCUGCCUUCCUGUGCUCCCCACUCCCUCCUCUGCCCUGCGGCCACCCAGAGCUUUGCCGUGCCUCCUGCAACCUGCCCUGCAAAGGCAGAUGGGGGACACCAUACAAGGGGACAAGGGGACAAGCGCGGGCAGGCGGUCACCAUGCAUGUUCCUCAGCCUGGGGAGCAGGUGCUGGUGUGAGGCGAGCUCGGGGUGUGCCGGGUGACACAGUGCCCGGCUCCUGUUGAGGCCUCUGUGUGCCCAGCCCUGGUCUGGGCGCUCUGGGGGAAACCGAGGCAAGGCGCGUGCAGCCUCUGCCCUCGUGCAGCUCGGGCUCCAGAGCCAGGGAGACAGCCAACCGCAAAAUGGGCUUAAGGCCCGUUGCCCCGGGUGGACGGGGCUCGCCCACACCGUUGGCAUCCCUC